rnacentral:tRNA from 1 species
GGAAAUGUGCCUGAACAUUAAGGGUCACUAUGAUAAAGUGAACACGGAGGUGCACCAAUCCUCUCAUUUCCUAU